GUGCCAGCCGCCGCGGUAAUACCGGCGCCUCAAGUGGUAGUCGAUUUUAUUGGGCCUAAAACGUCCGUAGCCUGUUUGGUACAUUCGUGGGUAAAUCAACCAGCUUAACUGAUUGAAUUCUGCGAGCACGGCCAGACUUGGGACCGGGAGAGGUGUGGGGUACGCUCAGGGUAGGGGUAAAAUCCUGUCAUCCUGAGCGGACCACCUGUUGCGAAGGCGCCACACUAGAACGGAUCCGACGGUCAGGGACGAAGCCUAGGGGCACGAACCGGAUUAGAUACCCGGGUAGUCCUAGGUGUAACGCUGUGGACUUGGUGUUGGGGAUUCUCCGAGGAUCCUCAGUGCCGAAGCGAAGGUGAUAAGUCCACUGCCUGGGGAGUACGGUCGCAAGGCUGAAACUUAAAGGAAUUGGCGGGGGAGCACUGCAACCUGAGGAUUGUGCGGUUUAAUUGGAUUCAACGCCGGAAAACUCACCAGUGCCGACGGACAAAUGAAAGCCAGUUUGAUGAGCUUGCUGGAUUGUUCGAGAGGUAGUGCAUGGCCGUCGUCAGUUCGUACCGUAAGGCGUUCUGUUAAGUCAGAUAACGAACGAGACCCUCAUCCCUAUUUGCUAAGGUCAGUCCGCUGAUCACAGGACUAUAGGGAGACCGCUGGCGCGAAGUCGGAGGAAGGCGAGGGCAACGGUAGGUCAGUAUGCACCGAAUGCACUGGGCUACACGCGCAAUACAAAGGACGGGACAAUGGGCCGCUGCGCCGAGAGGCAUGUGGCUAUCUCGAAACCCGUUCGUAGUUCGGAUUGAGGGCUGUAACUCGCCCUCAUGAAGCUGGAUUAGGUAGUAAUCGCGUCUCAAAAAGGCGCGGUGAAUAUGCCCCUGCUCCUUGCACACACCCCCCGUC
rnacentral:rRNA from 1 species